UACGUAGGGUGCGAGCGUUAAUCGGAAUUACUGGGCGUAAAGCGUGCGCAGGCGGCUUUGCAAGACAGAUGUGAAAUCCCCGGGCUUAACCUGGGAACUGCAUUUGUGACUGCAUGGCUGGAGUGCGGCAGAGGGGGAUGGAAUUCCGCGUGUAGCAGUGAAAUGCGCAGAUAUCAGGAGGAACACCAAUGGCGAAGGCAGCACUCUGGGACGUGACUGACGCUGAGACGCGAAAGCGUGGGGAGCAAACAGG
rnacentral:rRNA from 1 species